AUUGAACGCUGGCGGCAGGCCUAACACAUGCAAGUCGAACGAGUGGCGGACGGGUGAGUAAUGUCUGGGAAACUGCCUGCUGGAGGGGGAUAACUACUGGAAACGGUAGCAAAUACCGCAUACCAUCGGAGGUGCCCAGCGGGGCUUAGCUAGUGGGUGGGGUAGAGGCUCUCAUGGGCGACGAUGCCUAGCUGGUCUGAGAGGAUGACCAGGCAGACUGGAAACAUGGCACGGUCCAGACGCCAACGGGAGGCAGCGGAGGGGAAUAUUGCACAAUGGGCGCAAGCCUGAUGCAGCCAUGCCGGGUGUAUGAAGAAGGCCUUGGGGUUGUAAAGUACUUUCAGCGGUGAGGCGUUACGCGCAGAAGAAGCGCCGGCUAACUCCGUGCCAGCAGCCGCGGUAAUAC
rnacentral:rRNA from 1 species